UGGCUCUCGCAUCGAUGAAGAACGCAGCGAAAUGCGAUAAGUAAUGUGAAUUGCAGAAUUCAGUGAAUCAUCGAAUCUUUGAACGCACCUUGCACUCCUUGGUAUUCCGAGGAGUAUGCCUGUUUGAGUGUCAUUAAAUUCUCAAAUCUAAUCUCUUUAUUGGGUAUUAGACUUGGAUGUGAGGUUGCUGGUUUCUGUUUAGAAAUCAGCUUCCUUUAAAUGCAUUAGUAGAGCUAUUCUCAUUUGGUGUUUGAUAGUCUAUCAAUACCAACUCUUUAGAGUCCUAGUUUUCUGCUUAUAACCCUGUUCAUUCUCUUUAUCUUUUAUCAAGAUAGAAAGAUGAUUUUUGACUAUUUGACCUCAAAUCAGGUAGGACUACCCGCUGA
rnacentral:misc_RNA from 1 species